rnacentral:rRNA from 1 species
CCUACGGGAGGCAGCAGUGAGGAAUAUUGGACAAUGGACGAGAGUCUGAACCAGCCAAGUCGCGUGAAGGAUGACUGCCCUAUGGGUUGUAAACUUCUUUUAUAUGGGAAUAAAAUGUUCCACGUGUGGGAUUUUGUAUGUACCAUAUGAAUAAGGAUCGGCUAACUCCGUGCCAGCAGCCGCGGUAAUACGGAGGAUCCGAGCGUUAUCCGGAUUUAUUGGGUUUAAAGGGAGCGUAGGUGGAUUGUUAAGUCAGUUGUGAAAGUUUGCGGCUCAACCGUAAAAUUGCAGUUGAAACUGGCAGUCUUGAGUACAGGAGAGGUGAGCGGAAUUCGUGGUGUAGCGGUGAAAUGCUUAGAUAUCACGAAGAACUCCGAUGGCGAAGGCAGUUCACUGGACUGCAACUGACACUGAGGCUCGAAAGUGUGGGUAUCAAACAGGAUUAGAUACCCUUGUAGUC